AUCUGAGUUAAAUGCUCUCCUAACACCCUACCCUUUCCCCUUUUUUAAAGUCAUCACAUUGAACUGCAGUUGCGUCUUUAUCAUGUGCAUCUCCCACUGAACUUUGAUCUGUGGCAGCUAGCCCGUGCCUGCCUUGUGUGUGUUUGUAUAUACACCACUCGGCCCUGAUGCCAGGAGGCAAACAGUACUUGUGGGUGUGCCCAGUGAAUAAAAGCCACUUUGCUUCCUAAGAACUUGCAGUGACUCCCCAGUGUUUACCAGAUCAGACCCAGACUCUUCCUUUCAGUUUUCAACUACGUGGAUUUUUCUCGUACACAAGCUUUCAGAUCUCCUUUUGGCCCUCAUCUGGUUCUUGCAUCUUCGUGCUGUGGGUUGCUUGCCAUGCCUGCCCAUCUGUGGUGGCUUGUCUCCAAAGAUGGCUGCCAUCAGUUUCUUCUCCUCAGUGUACACCUGCCACUCCCCCACUGAGAGCUGGAGUCUGUUGCUCUGCCCCCGUGAACCUGGGCGGGCCUGUGACUAAUUUCACUAAUAGACUAUGGUGGCAGUGACACUGCAGGGAGUUCCCAUUGUGGCACAGCAGAAAAGAAUCUGACUAGGAACCAUGAAGUUGCGGGUUUGAUCCCUGACCUUGCUCAAUGGGUUAAGGAUCUGGUGUUGCCGUGAGCUGUGGUGUAGGUCGCAGAUGUGGCUUAGAUUCCGCAUUGCUGUGGCUGUGGCAUAGGCUGGCAGCUGUAGCUCCGAAUGGACUCCUAGCCUAGGAACCUCCAUGUGCCACAGGCGUGGCGCUAAAAAGCAAAAAAAAAGAAAGUCCAGGCAAACAAGCUAUGUGGAGGAAGCUAAGGCACUGGCAUGUGAGUGAGAAGCCAUCUUAGACAACUAGCCCAGCAGAGCCUUGAGGGCCCCCCAGUCUCAGCUGCUUCCUGACUAACCACAUGAGCCAUCUCAGGCAGGACCAUUCAGUUGAGUACAGUCAGCUACAGAACCAAGAGAUAACAAUAGUAGUUUUAAGCCACUAAGUUUUGGGGUGGUUUGCUCUAUAGCAAUACAUACCCUAAAUACCACCCUUUAAGGCCUCAAACCUAGAUUUCCUGUAGUCUAGUUGACAUCUGUCCAUCCCUUCUCUAAUUCCCAUAGAACUUCUCAGUUCCACACAUUUUGUUAUUCAACUGUACGUACUAUUUUCCACUUCCUGUGUGCUAAUCUGGCCUCCAUGACCAAUUCUAUGACCUUUGAAGAUACCAAUAAUGGAAAUACGACUUUUGCAGUCCUGUCAGCAAGUCCCAAUACUGGACAAAAUCGUAAUUAAUAAGCCAAAGCAUUCUUGGUCCUUUGAGCUCUCCGCCAACUGUAUCAGUUGCGACUCUUUUCGCUAUCUUUUGGAGCAUUCUUUUAAGUCUUGGUUAUGGCUGGAUGGCUGAUGUGUGGCUGCAGGCAGCCCUUGCAUCCUUCCACCUGGAGACAGUCUGUGAUAGCACAGUGGUUCUCCAAGUCUGGUCCCAGAUCAGCAGCAUCACCAUCGCCUGGGAACCUGCUAGAAAUUCGGAUUCUUGGGCCUACCCCAGAACCUAUGAAAUUUAAAGUUCUGGGGGUAGGGCCCAGCACUCUGUGUUUUAACAAGAUUUCCAGAUAAUUCUGAUGCAUGCUGAAGUAUGAGCAUCCCUUUUGUAUUGGAAAGAAUUCUGGUUUUAAGGUCUAGGAUUCUUUCAUUAAAUGACAUUUACUAAAUGUGCAUCUGCUUGUGCCAGGUGUUGUGUCAGAGGCUGGGAUACUAGGAUGGCUACAGGUUCAUCUCUGCCCUUGUGGGUUGAGGAAGAGUGGCUGCAAUAUUUACAUACAUAUAAAUGUGAUCUACCGCAAAUUACCUGUGCAAGACCUGAGCACAGAACAAGACAGUCCCAAUUUUUACCUUCACUUUUCUAUUUAAGAAUCAGAUGCCAAAAC
rnacentral:lncRNA from 1 species